AGACGCGCACGCGCAAUCGCCGUAAUGGCCAAUAUAGUAACAAUUUUUUAAGUCAUUUCACUUAUUUGCUGGUCGUUUUUGUAGUCUAGUCGUAACAUUUGCACCGAACGUCUGCAAUGCCUUCAUUUAAUGAUUUGACCACCUCUGAAUUGUCCACAUUAUUGAAAAAGAAUGGAGUGGAUAAUGAAGUCAUUGAAAAAUUUCAAGAGUGACAGCUGACCUGUAACACCAAUUCAGUGAUAAAAGUAACAGCACCACCACAAGUCCUGCUCCUUCACUCCCCUCUCCUAAGCUCAUUCCUACUUAAACUUGCUGUGAACAUUCAUUAAUAGUUCAAUUGUAAUUUAUAGUGCCCAAAUGCUCUUAAUGCAAAUUCCCGUACCCCAAAAGUAUUCAAGUUUAUUGUCAUUUGUUCAAUAAUUGGAACUUGAAGUACUUGUAAAAGUCUAAUUUGCAAUUUAGUAAUAUUUUACUUGUUUAAGGAUUUCUUACGAAACUACAAAAUUCCAAAUCAUUAUUUUUAUGCUGUUGAAGCUGAAAACAGAGUAUUUACACUCAAAUCUGAUUAACGAGCUCAUCAGAAAUGUCUGCACUAGUGUGCUGAGAUUUACAAACCAUCCCAGCAAAACAGAACGUGUAAUGAUUGCACUUAUGAUUGUUGAAUAAUAUCCAUUCCUGAAGGAUCAACUAUUGGAUGCAAACUCAAAGCCAUGGGGAUCUUUUGAGAUGAAAAUCUAUAACCAAUUAAAAAAAUUGCAAAGAAAGAGAUCUAACACGCCUGUUACCAAUGUUUCGCAAACUAAAGGCAAAACAACAAAGAAAAGGAACAGUCAUUGUUGGACGAACGUUCCCGAGCCGUGCGAAAGUAAAGAUCUUACAGCAGUUGUAUCAAAAACAAAAAAGAAGUGGCAGUCAGCUAAAAAGGAUUAUGAAAAAAUUCAGGAGUUGAUGGCUGCAUGCUAUGCUUCAAGGUGAUCACUUGUCCACGAAGACGUCAGAAGAAUAAUGGAAGUUGUUGAAAUGUUCCCUCCUUUAAAAAAUCUGCUAUACAUCAAGGCUGAAUUUGCAAAAGUUAUGGGGAAUAAAGACGUAGCUACACAGGUAAAGGUAAACUUCAACAAAGUCGGGCGUCACAGGCUGUUGGCAUAUGCUGAGAAAAAUGGUGGUAAACAUUCAGAAGACUUGAAGAAAAUGCACAGUGCUAAUGACAGUGGUAUCCUUGAAGAAGAUCCGCCCCUG